AAAUAAAUACCAAAAACUUCACAAUGCCUACAUAAAAAUAUAGAAUUUAAAAUACUGAAAAUUCCUAAAUACAUCAAAUUUAUGAUCCACAAUCUAGACUAAAGGUAAAAAUAAAAUAACUCAUGAAUAACAUAACUUUGCUCUAUUCAUGAACAAUCAUUAUGGUUCAACAAUUUCUGCCCUAAUUUUGUCUCUUUGAUUUUUUCACUGCUCUUGGAGCUACAACCAAUACAAACCACAAUAGAAUCUUUAACAAAUCUUAAUCUUGAAUCUUGGAUCAGGCAAAAUUUUGUUCUUCACCAAGGUUGCCAAAACACUCUAAAGUAAAGGCACCAAAAGGCUCCUGC